GGAAAGUUAUCGCUGAUAGAGCGGCCCGCGUCUGAUUAGCUAGUUGGUGGGUGCUCACCAAGGCGACGAUCAGUAGCUGGUCUGAGAGGAUGAUAGCAUUGGGACUGAGACACGGCCCAAACUCCUACGGGAGGCAGCAGGGGUAUUGGACAAUGGGCGCAAGCCUGAUCCAGCCAUGCCGCGUGGUGAUUGUAAAGCCCUUU
rnacentral:rRNA from 1 species